rnacentral:rRNA from 1 species
UACGUAGGGGGCUAGCGUUGUCCGGAAUCAUUGGGCGUAAAGCGCGUGUAGGCGGUCCGGUAAGUCCGCUGUGAAAGUCGGGGGCUCAACCCUCGAAUGCCGGUGGAUACUGGGUGGCUUGAGUUCGGGAGGGGUAGUGGAAUUCCUGGUGUAGCGGUGAAAGUGCGUAGAUAUCAGGAGGAACACCGGUGGCGAAGGCGGCUUGCUGGGCCAGUUCUGACCGCUGAGGAGCGAAAGCGUGGGGAGCGAACAGG